GCUGGUUCUACUGGGGAAAGAGAUGGCCACAGAGGGAAAAGCACUUAAUGCAGCUGUCGGUGUAGCAGGUCCCUCCAUAAAUAACCUCCAGACUCAAGCCAGGGAGCCCUCUGCAGGCAGUAGUAGCCCCAGCAUAGAGCACCUGGCACCUGUGAGGCACUCAGGGAGGGACAUUAGUCUGGAAAUGUGGAUUAAGCAAUGAGAAGCUCAGUCUAAAGCUUCCUUUGAAAGGCCAUCCAAGAAACUGGAAGAUUAGCCCUGAGCUAACAUCCACGCCCAUCUUCCUCUACUUUAUACGUGGGAUGCCUGCCACAGCAUGGCUUGCCAAGUGGUGCCAUGUCCGCACCUGGGAUCCGAACCAGUGAACCCCGGGCUGCCGAAACAGAACGUGCCAACUUAACCGCUGCACCAGCGGGCUGGCCCCUGCAUGUUUUUUUUUAUUUUUAUAUGCCAUGCCACAGAGAGCUGCUCCUCCAGUGUAGUCUAGAAAUGUGUGUGUACCGCCGUGGAGCUGGAAAGGAAAACCAAGGGGAAAAAUGCGAAUCAAGGGGGAAAAACAAACAUAGUUAAAGCUGUUCCCUCCAGCAUUCUCUCAACUGGAAAUUUCCAGUUCUGACCUUCUGUUUUAGGCACCAGCGUUGGUGUCAAAUCCUGCCUAAGAAAUCUAAAGGGCCAAUGCAGGCUGGCUGGCUGGCAGCUGAUGGAUGAGAGAGAGGAGACAGGCUGUGCUGGGAUCGGCCUCCAGGCCCAGGAUGGCCAGCUGAGGAUGCACGAGCAUUUCCUGUGGAACACACCCUGGAGAGAAACAAGUCGAUUGGUGAUUACAUCAACAUAAAGGUCACAGCAAUAAAGGAGCUCCAACUUUGAUGCUAAUGAGGACCCAUUGGGAGGCUGAGGAGGGAGCCUUGCUGUAGGAGAUGAAUCUGCUAAUUGCGUUCCUGCUGUUUCUGCACAGAGUGGGCCUGUUCCUGGCUGCACAGGGUCCAGGCUAACAUUUUCUUUCACUGACUCAAACGAGGACAGAUGACGCUGAUGGUUUAUGGCUCCUCCCUCAUUUGUCCCUGGGCUGUGAGGAUCAUUACAUGAUGGACUCUAGGAAAAUAGUCAUUGAGGAAAAAUGGAUGGCAGAGAGAAAAAAAUAGAUCUUCUUAAGCCAGCCGUUGUCAGCUGAAAGCACACCCACCAGCCCCUGAGAGGCUGGCCGGCCAGCGCUUUAGAUAAUCUGGCUUUUCUGGAGGGUGCUGUCACAGGAAGACAGAGGUAACAAAGUUAGGGCUUUUCAGAGUGGAGCGGAAGGGGCUAGGAGUCUGUCUCAAGCCUCCUUCCCCCGAGCUGAGGCUAAAAGUGCCUACGACACCAAAACCCACAGUAGAAGAAACGGCCAUGUUCCCUCUGUAGCCUCCUCUUCCUCUUUUCUGCAUGAAGAACUCCUAGCUAUCCUUCCAAGCCCAACUCGAUGCUAUACUCACCCACCCCCUGAGGAGCAGUUGGGACUCCCUCUGUGCACUCCACAGGGUGUGCCAAGGAUCCACGAGACGUCAGGUGUGGAAGGACAGAAUGCUUAGCACGGCGCCCUUCCUCCCUCCCCUGCGGCAAUGUCCCUGUGAGGGACCCUGGACAUCAUGUGUGUAUGUGAACAGGUGUGCUCCGCGAAGAUGAGUAAUUUGCCUAAGGGCACUUGACUGGUGAAUUCCCUCCUCAUUCACAGUCUCCAGGAACUGGGCGCCCACAUGACUCAGUUCACAGUGGCUGAGCACCAUCCGUCCCUGUGGUAUCACACUGCCUGCCACUCAGCACACGACUGGAAAACGCUGCUCACUUAUCAUUCCUGAAAGGUCCUCGGAGGCACCUGUAAUUCCAGCAAUUCUCUGAGUCUUCUGGGGUCCCCUAGUGAAUAUCUAUGUGAGACAAGCACACGACCACCCUGAGCAUGAGCUACAGAGGUGUGGGAAUGCCAAAGACUGACACAGAACCACAGGCAGUGGGAGCACAUUCAGACGUAACUUCUUUUUAUUUUAUUUUUUUUGAGAAAGAUUAACCCUGAGCUAACUACUGCCAGUCCUCCUCUUUUUUGCUGAGGAAGCCUGGCCCUGAGCUAACAUCCGCGCCCAUCUUCCUCUACUUUAUAUGUGGGACGCCUACCACACCUACCACAGCAUGGUGUGCCAAGUGGUGCCAUGUCCACACCCGGGAUCCAAACCGGCGAACCCUGGGCCGCCGAGAAGCCGAAUGUGCGAACUUAACCGCUGCGCCACCGGGCCGGCCCCAUAACUUCUUAUUUUAUAGAUGAGAAAACUGAGGCCAGGAAGAGGAAGGCUCUUGCCCAAGGUCACACAGUGAGUUAGUGGCAAGUAGGGCAUUGGGCCCAGGGCUCCAGGGUCCUGUGCGCUGUCGUCACCAGUCACAGACCCUUCAACAACUGGCUUUCCUGAGUUCUGGUCCAAUUCUUUUUUUACCUUCUCUUCAGCAACUACACAGUCAGAAGUUGUUUGGGUUAAAGUUCACUGAAUCACUUCUAUUUCUUGUGUCUUCAGUUUUGUGGCUCCCUGGGUCUCUUUGACUAAAUUCUGAUCUUGUUUAAAUCCAGUAUGGUAUCAAAGUGGUGGAGUUAUUCUCUGAAGACAGUCUGGCUGGUCCUCAAAGAGUUAAACGUAGAGUUACCAUAAGACCCAGCCCUUCCGCUCCUAGGCAUAUACCCAAGAGAAUUGAAGGUGUGUGUCCACAUAAAACCUGUACACCAAUGUUUGUAGCAGCUUUAUCCAUAAUAGCCCCAAAGUGGAAGCAAUCUAAAUGCUCAUCAGCUGAUGGAUGGAUAAACAAAAUGGGCUGUAUCUAUGCAAUGGGAUGCUAUCCGGCAAUAAAAGGGAAUGAAGUACUGAUAGGUGCUGAAACAUGGACUACCUUGAAAAUGUCUGCUAAGUGAAAGAAGCCAGUCGCUAAAGGCCACAUGUUGCAGGAUUCCAUUUAUACAAAAUAUCCAGAAUUGGCAAAUCCAGAGAGACAGAGAGUAGAUCAUUGGUUUCCAGGGGCUUGGGUGGGGAGAAUGGGAAGUGACUGCUAAUAGAUAUGGGGUUUCUUUAUUGGGUGACGAAAAUGUUCUGGAAUUAGAUAUUGGAGGAAAGUCACAAUGAGAAGUGUUGUAAUAUAAAGACCUAUGCUUAAAAGGUCCUAAAAGAGCAUUUGUAAGCAGGUCUUCUACUCUGAAAGGUAGAAAUGAAAGGUAGAAUGGGUCCUGUCUUAUAAAGUAGCUACUCAGAUAGGAAUUAGAAUCCUAGCUCUUCCACUAACCAGAUGCAAGACCUUAGUCCAGUUACCCACCCUUUAUCAACCUCAGUUUCUUCAUCUGUAAAAUGGGAUAAUAAAGUCUGCCUUGCAAGUAGUUGCACGUACAGUGCCUCGCACUCAUUUGGUUGCUUCUCGUUUCCCUUUCUCAUCUCUUCGCUAAUCUCAGGAGUUGCUCCUACAAUAUUGGGGGUACUUGCACCCCCUAUCAGGUGCAAGAAGACCUCUUGACACGAGUACCUGGAAACUUUUCUGAGUGCUCCUCAAACUGUAACAUACAUAGGAAUCAUUUCAUACCCACAGCUUUGCUCAAAUUCUGUAGGUUAGUGACUAGGACAAGUCAUCUCACACUAAAAUGUACACAGAAUCACUUGGGGGAUCUUGUUAAAAUGUAGACUCUGAGUCUCUGAGUCCCAGGUCUAGGGUAGAGCCUGAGAUUUUGCAUUUCUGAAAAUCUGCCAUGUGAUGCUGUUGUUCUGGUCCUCGAAAACACCUGCAUAGCAUGGUACUAAGUCACGGGAAAUGUUAAGCUAGAGUGAUUU
rnacentral:lncRNA from 1 species